GAUGAACGCUGGCGGCGUGCCUAACACAUGCAAGUCGAACGGAAGAUUAUCGCUGAUGAGGCUUCGGCGGAUUCUUGAUAAUCUUUAGUGGCGGACGGGUGAGUAACGCGUGGGCAACCUGCCUCAUACUGGGGGAUAACAGUUGGAAACGACUGUUAAUACCGCAUAAGCGCACAGAGUCGCAUGACUCAGUGUGAAAAACUCCGGUGGUAUGAGAUGGGCCCGCGUCAGAUUAGCCAGUUGGCGGGGUAACGGCCCACCAAAGCGACGAUCUGUAGCCGGACUGAGAGGUCGGACGGCCACAUUGGGACUGAGACACGGCCCAAACUCCUACGGGAGGCAGCAGUGGGGGAUAUUGCACAAUGGAGGAAACUCUGAUGCAGCGACGCCGCGUGAGUGAAGAAGUAUUUCGGUAUGUAAAGCUCUAUCAGCAGGGAAGAAAGGCUCGUAAGAGAGAUGACGGUACCUGACUAAGAAGCCCCGGGCUAACUACGUGCCAGCACCCGCGGUAAUACGUAGGGGGCAAGCGUUAUCCGGAUUUACUGGGUGUAAAGGGAGCGCAGACGGUCCGGCAAGUCUGAAGUGAAACCGCACGGCUCAACCGUGGGCUUGCUUUGGAAACUGUCAGACUAGAGUACUGGAGAGGUAAGCGGAAUUCCUAGUGUAGCGGUGAAAUGCGUAGAUAUUAGGAGGAACAUCGGUGGCGAAGGCGGCUUACUGGACAGCAACUGACGUUGAGGCUCGAAGGCGUGGGGAGCAAACA
rnacentral:rRNA from 1 species